GCCAGCGGGUAACCGCUGGCCUAUGGUCACAUUGAAACGAUACAGAGAAGAUGUAGGUGUUCUUCCCCCCUAAGUUCCAGCGUUCGAGCACGCACUAACAUCUCUAUAGUAGCAUGGCCCCUGCACUAAGGAUGACACAUGUAAUCAAAGAGACGCAACCCAUUUUU
rnacentral:snRNA from 16 species